UGCUGGAAGCUUGCGUUCCUCUUCCUGAACCUAAGGUAAAAAUACCCAAUAAAAGCUACAAUCCCAGUAACCACGCAGAUGCCAAAGAAUAUCCCUGUCCCAGCUGCGGUGUGGAGAGGAGCCUGGAAGCAAGAGAGAGGGUUGCCACACCAGACAAGGCGGGGAGAGUGGAAGAAAGACAGAAGAAACAUUGGUUUGAAUGAAACUGGAUCUAUGCUGGAGAACUGAGACACUCGCUUUACUGGACAAUUUGUCUAAGACUCAGGAUGGUACAGCAUUAGAAGACCCAGUUGAAGAUUCACAUGAAGUGAAAGAUAGAUUUUGCACUGGAGGUGGGAUUUUGAAACUCUGCAGAAAGCCUGCAUGAGAUUCUUCAUGUGGACUUUGGUGGAUCUCCCAGACUGGGUUGCAGAAACCUCAAGAUGCAGAGCAGCAACAGGAAGAAGAGGAGGAAGAAGAACAAGUCGUUCAUAUUAAUUCAAAACUAAAGAAGGCUUAACUCCAUCUGCCAAGGCACUGAAAAUACAACCAUCUCUGGCUUCCAAGUUGGUGAAUCACUGAGGCUUUUUCUGCUGAUGGCUUUUUAAUGGUAAGAGACUGAAAAGUGUCCAGUGACCCACAGGUCGAUUGACAGAGCAUCUUGGAAGAAAACAUAGUUGCAAAGCCAGAUUUUAGAGAUUGUUGACUAUUAUGUAACAGAUGGCCUGACAGACCUCCGACUCUUUGCAGUGAUGGCUAGCUUGGCGCAGAAAAUAGCAGCACUGGAGU